GGCCUACGGGGGGCAGCAGUGGGGAAUAUUGCACAAUGGGGGGAACCCUGAUGCAGCAAUGCCGCGUGAAGGAUGAAGGUUUUCGGAUUGUAAACUUCUUUUGUACGGGACGAAGAAAUGACGGUACCUCAUGAAUAAGCCACGGCUAACUACGUGCCAGCAGCCGCGGUAAUACGUAGGUGGCAAGCGUUAUCCGGAUUUACUUGGUGUAAAGGGCGUGUAGGCGGGACUGCAAGUCAGAUGUGAAAAUUAUGGGCUCAACCCAUAACCUGCAUUUGAAACUGUAGUUCUUGAGUGAUG
rnacentral:rRNA from 1 species